rnacentral:rRNA from 1 species
CAACAACGAAGAGUUUGAUCCUGGCUCAGGAUGAACGCUAGCGGCAGGCUUCAUACAUGCAAGUCGAGGGGUAACAGGGAGUGCUUGCACUCCGCUGACGACCGGCGAACGGGUGCGUAACGCGUAUGCAACCUACCUAUUACAGGGGGAUAGCCAAAAGAAAUUUUGAAUAAUACCCCAUACUAUCAUUAUACUGCAUAGUAUUUUGAUGAAAACUUCGGUGGUAAUAGAUGGGCAUGCGUCCUAUUAGUUUGUUGGUAAGGUAACGGCUUACCAAGACUACGAUCAGUAGGGGGUCUGAGAGGAUGAUCCCCCACACUGGUACUGAGACACGGACCAGACAUCUACGGAUGGCAGCAGUAAGGAAUAUUGGGCAAUGGGCGCAAGCCUGACCCAGCCAUGCCGCGUGCAGGAUGACGACCCUAUGGGUUGUAAACUGCUUUUAUAUAGGAAGAAAAUACUCUUGUGAGAGGAUCUGACGGUACUAUAUGAAUAAGGACCGGCUAACUCCGUGCCAGCAGCCGCGGUAAUACGGAGGGUUCAAGCGUUAUCCGGAUUUAUUGGGUUUAAAGAGUGCGUAGGUGGUUUAUUAAGUCAGUGGUGAAAUCCUACAGCUCAACUGUAGAACUGCCAUUGAUACUGGUAAACUUGAGUUUGGCUGAGGUAAGCGGAAUUUAUGAUGUAGCGGUGAAAUGCAUAGAUAUCAUAAGGAACACCAAUAGCGUAGGCAGCUUACUAGACCAAUACUGACACUGAGGCACGAAAGCGUGGGUAGCGAACAGGAUUAGAUACCCUGGUAGUCCACGCCGUAAACGAUGGAUACUAGCUGUAUGUCUACCUCAGGUAGAUGUGUGGCCAAGCGAAAGUGAUAAGUAUCCCACCUGGGGAGUACGAUCGCAAGAUUGAAACUCAAAGGAAUUGACGGGGGCCCGCACAAGCGGUGGAGCAUGUGGUUUAAUUCGAUGAUACGCGAGGAACCUUACCAGGGCUUAAAUGUAACGGGACAGGUCUAGAG